AACGAACGCUGGCGGCAUGCCUAACACAUGCAAGUCGAACGAGACCUUCGGGUCUAGUGGCGCACGGGUGAGUAACGCGUGGGAACCUGCCCUUAGGUUCGGAAUAACUCCCCGAAAGGGGUGCUAAUACCGGAUAAUGUCUUCGGACCAAAGAUUUAUCGCCUUUGGAUGGGCCCGCGUUGGAUUAGCUAGUUGGUAGGGUAAAAGCCUACCAAGGCGACGAUCCGUAGCUGGUCUGAGAGGAUGAUCAGCCACACUGGGACUGAGACACGGCCCAGACUCCUACGGGAGGCAGCAGUGGGGAAUAUUGGACAAUGGGCGAAAGCCUGAUCCAGCAAUGCCGCGUGAGUGAUGAAGGCCUUAGGGUUGUAAAGCUCUUUUACCCGGGAUGAUAAUGACAGUACCGGGAGAAGAAGCUCCGGCUAACUCCGUG
rnacentral:rRNA from 1 species